rnacentral:rRNA from 1 species
AUUGAACGCUGGCGGCAUGCCUUACACAUGCAAGUCGAACGGCAGCACGGGUGCUUGCACCUGGUGGCGAGUGGCGAACGGGUGAGUAAUACAUCGGAACGUACCUUAUCGUGGGGGAUAACGCAGCGAAAGUUGCGCUAAUACCGCAUACGCCCUGAGGGGGAAAGCGGGGGACCGUAAGGCCUCGCGCGAUUAGAGCGGCCGAUGUGCUGAUUAACUUGUUGGUGAGGUAAAAGCUCACCAAGGCGAUGAUCAGUAGCUGGUCUGAGAGGACGAUCAGCCACACUGGGACUGAGACACGGCCCAGACUCCUACGGGAGGCAGCAGUGGGGAAUUUUGGACAAUGGGGGCAACCCUGAUCCAGCAAUGCCGCGUGAGUGAAGAAGGCCUUCGGGUUGUAAAGCUCUUUUGUCAGGGAAGAAACAGCAGCUCUAACACAGUCUGCGAAUGACGGUACCUGAAGAAUAAGCACCGGCUAACUACGUGCCAGCAGCCGCCGUAA